AAACAUGUCUCUUUGGUUGUAGAAGAUAAGGAGUUGGGCCUGCCCAAUGAUGAAUAAAGUUAAAUGGCCGCAGUAUCUUGACUGUGCAAAGGUAGCAUAAUGGCUUGCCUUAUAAUUGAAGGCUUGUAUGAAUGGUUUGACAAGAGUAUAGCUGUCUCUAAUAAAUUCUAUAGAAUUUAGUUUUUAAGUGAGGAAACUUAAAUUUUAUUGAUAGACAAGAAGACCCUGUCGAGCUUAAAAAUUAUUUAAAUUUUUAAUUUUUAUAAUUAAUUUAAUUUAUUAAUUUUGGUUGGGGCGACUGAGGAAUAGAAUAAGCUUCCUUUAAAUUUAUAUAAAAUUAUAUUUAUUGAUCCAAAGGAAGUUGAUUAAAAGAAUUAGUUACCGCAGGGAUAACAGCAUUAUUUUUUUUGAGAGUUCUUAUCGAAAGAAAAGUUUGUGACCUCGAUGUUGGAUUAAGAUUUCUAAAAGGUGAAAAAGUCUUUUUAGUUGGUCUGUUCGACCAUUAAAAUCUUACAUGAUCUGA
rnacentral:rRNA from 1 species